rnacentral:tRNA from 1 species
GGGGGUAUAAUUUAAUUGGUAAAAUAUGUGUUUUGCAUACAUAAAUCAUCAGUUCGAGUCUGAUUACUUCCA